rnacentral:tRNA from 1 species
GCCUGAGUGGCUCAGUUGGUUAAGCGUCCGACUUCGGCUCGGGUCAUGAUCUCAUGGUUCGUGAGUUCAAGCCCCGCGUCGGGCU